rnacentral:lncRNA from 1 species
UUAUUAUCUCAGCUCAUUUCUCAGCCCACUAGCCCAGAUCUCAAACUCUCAAUCUCUCAUCGCCUUAUCGGUCAUCGGUCAUCGGUCAUCACUCUGCUCAUCUCGAACUCUCGAUCUCUCAUCUCUCAUCUCUCAUCUCUCAUAUGACAUCUCUCAUCCCUCUCAAUCUCUCAUCCCUCAGAUCUCGAUCUCGAUCUCGAUCUCUGAUCACUCAGAUCUCGAUCUCGAUCUCGAUCUCGAUCUCUCAUCUCUGUUUUUUCCCUAAGCCCCUAACCCAAAAGCUAAAAUCCCAGUCCCCAAAUCUCACGACAGACGUCGCGACUCCACUCCGCCUCCGAACAGCGAACCAAAAUCUGGACAGAACCUCAUCUCCGACUCUGAGCCUAGACGGAAUCUUAUCUUUACUACUCCUUGCUCCUUAAAUUGUGAGUUCUAAAGUCUUUAUACUGAUAUUUACGACUUCCCAUCUACUUCUUUUGGAUGAACUACUAUGUAAUCAAUAUUUUAGAGGUUAUUUAUUUGUUUGAUUCAACAGUACUGUGAUAUUUCUGCUUGUAUCUUUAUUUAAAGUUGAUGAGAUUAUAGGAUCUGCAUCUAAUGUUAGAAAUUUUGUUGGCCUCAUCUGUAAAAUGGAAAUUCGAUCUUUUUAUGGAUUAAACAUGCUAGGAGUAUUAUCAAUUUGUAGUUCCUUUUGCUAUGAUUUAUAGUCUUGGACAUUCUUGUCUAUAAAUGGCUAAAUUAUUUAGUUUUGCUAUUUCUGAAUUGUUCUAUCCAUUCCACCUUUUAUUGCUUGCUUUGGGAUUACAUUAAAUUAUCUAAACUAUAUAGCUGUGUUGUUUCUUAUUUUCACAUUUGUACUUAUUUUUCAUGGGAUUUACAUUCUAAUAUAUGACAAUAUUUAGACCUUGGAAAGUUUUUAAUCAUGCAUGCAGCCUUCUGUCAGUGAGUUCUCCUACCAUAAAUAUUUAUCUAAGAUGUCCUAGAAGGCUAGAAUUACAGAGACAGUUUUGUUGUAGUAUUCAUUUUGUCACCUACCUAUCUAACUCUUUCUAAAUAAGCAUCUUUUAUUUAAACUUCCCUUUUGGUUUCCUCUAUGUUAAUUAGUAGACAUGUAGAAGACUUUUGCACCAAAUUAUGAGAAUUUCACAAUCAAAUUGGAAUUGUUGUAGCAUCUUUCACCUGAUUAAUCUAUAUUUUAAGAUGAGCUCAUUAAUUAUGUGUAUUUGAGCAUCAUAUACAAGAGAGCAAAUUGAUGGAUAUGUGUUGUGGAAAAUCAUACUAUUUUUUGUAAAAUAGAUAGCAUUGGUGCAAAGUCUUGUUCUGUUUAUAUAUUGAAAUUUCUAAUAGCUACAUAUUUCAACAUGUGCUAUAUAAUGCUAUAAAUGUGUGUUGAUGGAUCAUUGUUGACACUGUAGGCUAAUGCUAUUGUUGGGGGCUCUGUUGCACAAUGUUUGACUUGCAUGUUGGCAUGUUGCUGUACUGCCUACUGCCCUGUUGUGCCUGCUGAGUGUUGACUCAAUGAUUAUAGUGCUUGAGUUUUUGACUCCCUGCUGCUAAUGUUUGGUCUUAGACAGUUAGACUCUUAUGGAUUAUUAAUUUAUUAUGGUCUAAUUAUCUUUGUGAAAUUAUGGAUUAUGUAUUGUUGAUUUUAAUCAUGUUAAGAUUUUAAAUUAUUAUGUAUUGUUAAUUGUAGAGAUGUAUUGACUCUACCAUUGUUGUCAAGUCGUCGACUAGUCGUCGCCUAGGCGACGACUAGGCGUCGAGUCGACCAGAAAAAUCAAGCCGGUAG